ensembl:lncRNA
AAACCACUCUGAGCACAGUAUCAAAUGAUUGUAAAUUUAUUUGAACUUUGUUGUGUUUGGCUCAGGGUGAGAGAGGUCUUUCAGGAGGUCCAGGUACCCCAGGUGCUCCUGGUCAUCCAGGUCCUCCUGGUUUGCAAGGCGAGAAGGGAGAUCCUGGUGAUAUCAUCUCUGUAGACCAGUUUGGAGUGCCAGGAGAACCUGGAGACCCCGGCCGACCAGGCUUCAGAGGAGUUCCAGGACCUCCUGGGUUACCUGGUCCUAUUGGUCCUGUUGGCACGAGAGGUUUCCAGGGUCCUCCUGGUCCUCCUGGCCCACCGGGGCCUAAGGGCAAUAUGGGAUUGAAUUUCCAAGGGCCGAAAGGAGAGAAGGUAUAGUAGCAACUACCAAAAAAUGAGAUUGAAUUGGAGUUCUUUUGGGCAGCAAUUUCAGUGUGUUUGUGUGUGUAGGGUGAACCUGGUUUGAAGGGGCCUCCAGGGCCACCGGGGCAGGUUGGCGAGUUUUCAAGUCAACUGGACACAGUGAUUCAGCGAGGAGAGAAGGUAUAGUAAUGCUUAAAUCAGAGUUUGCUUUUUUAUUGCAUCUAUGGCACAUGUGUACAGAAUAGAACCCAAAUAUUAUCCUGAGUCUGCAGUCCUAAAUGAGACAUGAAAACUACUUAAACAGUAACAGACAUUAAGCAACAAGCACAGACAUUAAACAGGGCAUAUACUGGAUUUAAUUCUGAGACAUUAAAAAUAAAACAGACAUAAUCAUAUUAAAAAUAAAAAAGACAGUGCAAAAACAAACAUUAAACAGGAGUAGACAAUAGACAGUACAAAUGGCUCAUUAAAUGUCAUAGGAGUCAUCAGAGUGUGUUUAAAAUGGCAGUAGUUACAUUAAGUUAAAAUCAGUAUCUCUGAAAGUUGACAACCAGUUCAUACAAAGUCAUUGAUGAAGGAGUACAGGAAGGAGCCGCAUGUAAAUAAGGCAUACAAAUAACAUACAAAACAAAAUAACUGAUUAAAAUAGGGUGGAAUGGUGAGUAUAUGUGUUUUCAUCGGAGGGGCUCAGUUGAUAAGAUGGAUCAAAUGUUUCUGAAAAUAUAAAUCACUAAACUGAAGGCCCUCCAGUAAUGGAAUUGAUGAUCCUUGCAGUAGAGUAACAAGACGGUAGUCAGUCAGGCCGGUGAUAGGCCUUGUAGGUAUUCUAGUAAGUAGUCAGUAACGUUUUAAGCACAUGUUGUUAUGGUGGUUUAUUUGAGGCAUGUCUAAGAUAUUUAUUUAAAUCCUUCAAAAAUGAUUUACCUUAGGACCACUGCCAGCAGACCCAACAGCUUCCUGUCUUCAUAAUUUCAUUGGUGGGCAAGAGCAGGUUGCUAGUGUACAACAAGUCAUUUUGUGUGCUUGAUAAGGAGACAUCACAAACACCAGAGAAGCUGGUCAUGCCUUUGCGGUCUGUCAUAUCCUGGAUGCUCUGCCACAAGUGAUCAUCAAGUGGCAUCUGGAGUCAAUCAGGUUUUCCCUGUUUGGAGUAGUAGGUUCAUUUUAUGACUGAGAGAGUAUUUUCUUUCCCCAAGAAGAUGCGUUUUAGAUGCGUUAGGUUAU